UCCAAUUGUAAUUUUCCUCGAAGGGGUGACACUCUGAUCUUUUGAGUUUAAUCUUUUUUUAAUCUUUUUGAAUCAUUCGGAAUCUCUCUGAAUCUUGCCAAAUCAUGCACAAAAAAAUUAAAGAACCUUUUGGUUCAGUGUGUCAACAGCGUCUGUCAAAGCAACUUCGCUCGCGCGCGGAAUAAACAAAAUCAAACGAAAAUGCUUUCAACGGCUCUGCUUGCGAUCCGCGGAUCCGAAAACUUCUUCGGAAUAAGUUUUGGAGAACUGCUGAAAUCUCCCAGAAGGGCAAAGGUCUGUGCGCCAAUGACGGAACCGUUCUGUGGAAUCGCCGCCGACGUCAGACGCUGAAUUUUUGGUGGAACUACCCAGCCUGGGUAUGAUGUUCGAGUAAUGCCGGAAAUAGCUGGAAACGGCUGAAACCAAUAUCGCCAGCUGACGAAUGUGUGCAGCAUCAGGUCUUCGGCUUACGCAGGAGCUGAUGGGGAGCUCCCGGGAGCUGAGGAUGUUUUGGAAAAGGGCAAUGCGAAACACGAUGGAUACUCCAGUAGUAUUUCGAAAGCACUACUGUCAACCUCGCUGUUAACCAUGUCUAGGAAGUUAAAUGGAGCUACUUCACCGGUCUCAUCUAUUAAAUACUUUGAAAUGUAUUUUUAUGCUUUUGUAUAUUAUUAAAAGAAAUGCGGUGGGUGGGGUGUUUCGUUGGGAUUUCUAAGCCAUCCGAAAUUACAUUGGGAUUCUGACCAGGGCAAUUUCUUGUAUGAAAAACUAAGUACUAUGUAGUUAUGAAGGUUAUUAACCUUUUCCUUCCCAAGACUUAUAACAACCAUUUCUAUGCCAAAGAAUCGUUUCCGAAGAAAGAAAAGCUAUUCAAAUUACAGUAAGGACCCGAUUUUGUCAGCCCCAUUUAGCGACGAACUUUUUGCUCUAAUUAUCUUACGGUCAAACUUGAACCAAUUUAUUCAUAAUCAUCAUCAAACUACUGCUGAAAGGCAGAGCAUAGGGAGAUUGAAACUGAACUGUUUAGAUUUUUCAGGACAGCAAAAAAUGUGUUCCGAAAAUCGGGUCCCUUGUGUAUCUUAAUUUUUCGGAAUCAAUGUUAAAAAAAUAGUUGUAAAUCAUUUUUUUUAUUGGUUAUUCAAAGUUCCCUCUUCAGAAACAAGUAAUUAGCAUGAUUUACCUGUACAAUUACAAUGAGAGUACAAAGUUAGUCCACAGAGUCUGUGGUUAGUCUAUGGUACAAUCACAUUCUACUACUAUUACAUUAUAAAUAUUCAUCUAAAUCCGUUCAUCUCAAGUUCGUUAAAAA